rnacentral:rRNA from 1 species
AGUGAACGCUGGCGGUAGGCCUAACACAUGCAAGUCGAACGGCAGCACAGUAAGAGCUUGCUCUUACGGGUGGCGAGUGGCGGACGGGUGAGGAAUACAUCGGAAUCUACUUUUUCGUGGGGGAUAACGUAGGGAAACUUACACUAAUACCGCAUACGACCUACGGGUGAAAGCAGGGGAUCUUCGGACCUUGCGCGAUUGAAUGAGCCGAUGUCGGAUUAGCUAGUUGGCGGGGUAAAGGCCCACCAAGGCGACGAUCCGUAGCUGGUCUGAGAGGAUGAUCCGCCACCCUGGAACUGAGACACGGUCCAGACUCCUACGGGAGGCAGCAGUGGGGACUCUUGGACAAUGGGCGAAAGCCUGAUCCAGCCCUACCGCGUGGGUGAAGAAGGCCUUCGGGUUGUAAAGCCCUUUUGUUGGGAAAGAAAAGCAGCAGGUUAAUACCCCGCUGUUCUGACGGUACCCAAAGAAUAAGCACCGGCUAACUUCGUG